rnacentral:rRNA from 1 species
AUUGAACGCUGGCGGCAGGCCUAACACAUGCAAGUCGAACGAGUGGCGGACGGGUGAGUAAUGUCUGGGAAACUGCCCGAUGGAGGGGGAUAACUACUGGAAACGGUAGCUAAUACCGCAUACCAUCGGAUGUGCCCAGAUGGGAUUAGCUAGUAGGUGGGAUGACGGCUCACCUAGUCGACGAACCCUAGCUGUUCUGAGAGGAAGACCAGCAACACGGGAAUUGAGACACGGUCAAGACUCCUCCGGGAGGCAGCAGUGGGGAAUAUUGCACAAUGGGCGCAAGCCUGAUGAAGCCAUGCCGCGGGUAUGAAGAAGGCCUUCGGGUUGUAAUGUACUUUCAGCGAGGAGGCGUUACUCGCAGAAGAAGCACCGGCUAACUCCGUGCCAGCAGCCGCGGUAAUAC